AGCGAGCGCUGGCGGCAGGCUUAACACAUGCAAGUCGAACGGGCGUAGCAAUACGUCAGUGGCAGACGGGUGAGUAACGCGUGGGAACGUACCUUUUGGUUCGGAACAACCCAGGGAAACUUGGGCUAAUACCGGAUAAAGCCCUUACGGGGAAAGAUUUAUCGCCGAAAGAUCGGCCCGCGUCUGAUUAGCUAGUUGGUGUGGUAACGGCGCACCAAGGCGACGAUCAGUAGCUGGUCUGAGAGGAUGAUCAGCCACAUUGGGACUGAGACACGGCCCAAACUCCUACGGGAGGCAGCAGUGGGGAAUAUUGGACAAUGGGCGCAAGCCUGAUCCAGCCAUGCCGCGUGAGUGAUGAAGGCCCUAGGGUUGUAAAGCUCUUUUGUGCGGGAAGAUAAUGACGGUACCGCAAGAAUAAGCCCCGCUAACUUCGUGCCAGCAGCCGCCGUAAU
rnacentral:rRNA from 1 species